UAGGGAAUUGUUCGCAAUGGGCGCAAGCCUGACGACGCAACGCCGCGUGGAGGAUGAAGACCUUCGGGUCGUAAACUCCUUUCGACCGAGAUGAAUACCCACCGACCUAAUACGUUGGUGGGCUGACAGUAUCGAGGGAAGAAGCCCCGGCUAACUCCGUGCCAGCAGCCGCGGUAAUACGGGGGGGGCAAGCGUUGUUCGGAAUUACUGGGCGUAAAGGGUUCGUAGGUGGCCUGCUAAGUCACACGUGAAAUCCCUCAGCUUAACUGGGGAACUGCGUGUGAGACUGGCGGGCUUGAGUGCAGGAGAGGAACGCGGAAUUCCAGGUGUAGCGGUGAAAUGCGUAGAUAUCUGGAGGAACACCGGUGGCGAAGGCGGCGUUCUGGACUGCUACUGACACUGAGGAACGAAAGCCAGGGGAGCAAA
rnacentral:rRNA from 1 species